CCGGGUCGGGCGACCGCGGGCGGCUUGCCGCGCGAGGAAAGUCCGGGCUCCAUGAAACAACGGUGCCGGGUAACGCCCGGCGGGGGCGACCCCAGGGACAGUGCCACAGAGAGCAGACGGCCCUUCCUCGGGAGGGUCACGGUGAAAGGGUGCGGCAAGAGCGCACCGCGCGACCGGUAACGGAAGCGGCAAGGUAAACCCCACCGGGAGCAAGAUCGAAUAGGGGUGGCAUGGGAUUUCGGUCCCGGGGUGUGUUUCCACCCGUCGCCCGGGUUGAUUGCUGGAGGCGGCGCGCGAGUGCCGUCGUAGAGGAAUGGUCGCCCAAUCUCUCGUCGAGAGGUGGACAGAACCCGGCUUACAGACCCUCUGGUAUU
rnacentral:RNase_P_RNA from 1 species